UACGUAGGGGGCAAGCGUUGUCCGGAAUCACUGGGCGUAAAGGGCGCGUAGGCGGACUUUUAAGUCGGGGGUGAAAGCCCAGGGCUCAACCCUGGAAUUGCCUUCGAUACUGGGAGUCUUGAGUUCAGAAGAGGUUGGUGGAACUGCGAGUGUAGAGGUGAAAUUCGUAGAUAUUCGCAAGAACACCAGUGGCGAAGGCGGCCAACUGGUCCGAAACUGACGCUGAGGCGCGAAAGCGUGGGGAGCAAACAGG
rnacentral:rRNA from 1 species